rnacentral:rRNA from 1 species
UCAAUCUCGUGCGACUAAACGCCGCUUGUCCCUCUAAGAAGUCGGCGCCGACGCAAGACGAUCGGCGGACUAUUUAGCAGGCUAGAGUCUCGUUCGUUAU